rnacentral:rRNA from 1 species
UGGGGAAUAUUGCACAAUGGGCGCAAGCCUGAUGCAGCAAUGCCGCGUGUGUGAAGAAGGCUCUAGGGUUGUAAAGCACUUUCAAUAGAGAAGAAAAGCUUGAAAUUAAUACUUUCAAGCCUUGACGUAACCUAUACAAGAAGCACCGGCUAAUUCCGUGCCAGCAGCCGCGGUAAUACGGGAGGUGCGAGCGUUAAUCGGAAUUACUGGGCGUAAAGCGAGCGUAGGCUGUUAAUUAAGUCGAAUGUGAAAUCCCCGGGCUCAACCUGGGAACUGCAUCCGAAACUAUUUAACUAGAGUAUGGGAGAGGAAAGUAGAAUUUCCGGUGUAGCGGUGAAAUGCGUAGAUAUCGGAAGGAAUACCAGUGGCGAAGGCGGCUUUCUGGAACAAUACUGACGCUGAGGUUCGAAAGCGUGGGGAGCAAACAGG